GGUUUUUGGUCUCUUUUAUUCUUCGUUUCCUGUAACCCGAUCCCGAUCAAAUCAGAUCUUAAAAGGGUGCGAUAGAAAGUUCGUUGUGAAUUUACAGGAAGACAAUGACGAUUCCAACAAAUUUGUUGUGUUGUUUGACCGAUAAAUGAUGUCAAAGAGCCGUUGAUCAAACCCCACUUAUGAUCUCAGCAAACACAUUCUGUCUUUCACAAUUAUGAUGCCAGGCUCCUUUAGACUUUGUAAACCGUCACUGGGAACUAAGAACUUGACUUUGUUUGGCUAGUCCAAAGGUGGUAUAUAUUCUUAGACAUUGAAUAAAGAUCGCAAUCCUUAUAGAUA